ensembl:lncRNA
AAAAAUAUGUGUUUAGUAAUGAUAUUAUAUAAAAUAUGCUUGGCAAGAAAUUGAUAUAAAAUAUUUACAGAUAAUCAAUUGCUGUUGUUGUGUGCCUUCAAACAGACUGGUGUUCAAACUUUGGUCUUUUAAGGGGUGCAUCUAGGGGUGCAAACUAGGAUUCCAUAGCAUUGAGCCAUGGCAGUUAAUGUGUGCGAAAAAGACCUUGGAGUCCUCGUGGACAACAAGUUAAACAUGAGCCAACAAUGUGAUGCGGCUGCUAAAAAAGCCAAUGGGAUUCUGGCCUGCAUCAAUAGGGGAAUAGCGUCUAGAUCCAGGGAAGUUAUGCUCCCCCUCUAUUCUGCCUUGGUCAGACCACACCUGGAAUACUGUGUCCAAUUUUGGGCACCACAGUUGAAGGGAGAUGUUGACAAGCUGGAAAGCGUCCAGAGGAGGGCGACUAAAAUGAUUAAGGGUCUGGAGAACAAGCCCUAUGAGGAGCGGCUUAAAGAGCUGGGCAUGUUUAGCCUGCAGAAGAGAAGGCUGAGAGGAGACAUGAUAGCCAUGUACAAAUACGUGAAGGGAAGUCAUAGGGAAGAGGGAGCAAGCUUGUUUUCUGCUGCCCUGCAGACUAGGACACGGAACAAUGGCUUCAAACUACAGGAAAGGAGAUUCCACUUGAACAUCAGGAAGAACUUCCUCACAGUGAGGGCUGUUCGACAGUGGAACUCUCUCCCCGGGUCCGUGGUGGAGGCUCCUUCCUUGGAGGCUUUUAAGCAGAGGCUGGAUGGCCAUCUGUCGGGGGUGCUUUGAAUGCGAUUUCCUGCUUCUUAGCAGGGGGUUGGACUAGAUGGCCCAUGUGGUCUCUUCCAACUCUACUAUUCUAUGAUUCUAUGAUUCUAUGAUUCUAUGGUUGGUUUCAUUAUAUUUAUUAGACUCAUUCAUCUGAAAGAACUUCUCAAGGUCUGAUACUUUGUAACUGAUCCCACUCUCACACGAUCCUAAAAACCUUAUUUUUUUCAGAAAGGGUGACAAUGUGGGACAAGAGUUGAAACUGGGGACCCAUCUACACUGUCAUAUAAUUCAGUUUCUGAAUCCAGAUUAUCUGUUUUGAACUGGAUGGCAAUAUAGACACAUAUAAUUCAGUUCAUAUAGUUCAAUUCAAGGCACAUAAUCUGGAUUCAAAAAUUGGACCAGUGUAUAGUCAGUCUGAGACCAAAGUAAAAGUCAAGAAUGAGCAGCAACUCCCUCACACUCUUCGGACUCUUUUGAAAGCUAUUGCUUCUACUUAACCCUAAAAUGUUUUCUUGGUGGCUUCAGAAAUUACAAUGAUCUUAACAUACAGGUGCAUCCCACACUGUCAUCAGGUCUCAUCAACCCCCUCAGGGCAGAAGAGGAGAGAUUGCAAAAAUCCUGCUUCUUUGACAGGUUGAUUUUUCUUUUCGAUUAAGUAAUUUCUCCAAAAGAUUGGAAAGUGAUUUUAACAAGCUGUUACUCUUGGAAUGCAAUCUCAGCCACACCUUGACAUUUGCACAUACACUUAGGAAAAUUUUACAGCCAUCAAAACUGUCAGGCCUUGUAUGGAAAUGACAAACAAAUCCGUAGCCAUUACUGAUGGGGCAACAAUAUCAGCAACACGUCUUUAUUUGAAAAUCAGAUGGUUUGCAUUGUGCAUUUAGACAGUGAAAACAAUUUCAAAUAACAAUUGUCAUUCUCCUUUUUUUUCAGAUUAGUCCCUGACUGCAACACGACUUUCUAGAUCCUCAACAUGUGGUAGCUCAUAGGCCAGAUCUGGUCCAAAACGUAUUGACUGUUGGUUUGACAGGUUGGCAGGAAAAAACCCAAUACGCAGAAAUACUGUACUGAUUCCUGAAUGAGUAGAAAACAAAAACUUCUGUUUCUUCAUAUCAGAUAGUCUGAGGAAUGCUGCUCUAACAAACACUUUCCCCAUUGCUCAUGUUUCUGAAGAAACACAUUUAGUUUGCACAGUAAGUGACUGUCAUGGUCUAUAUAAGCAGUGGUGAAAUAUAUUCAUCAAGUAGCUUUUAAAUUUAUUUUACUUUUCCAAGAGACAGACAAAUAAUUGUGUCUCUUAAAAAUAAAACACUCCCACACCUUUGCCUGCUUUACAAAGCUAAAUGAUGUAUAACUUUUGACUUUUUAAUAAGAUUUCCAUGGCCCUUUUUGUUCCAAUUUGCAGCACUGGGACACUUUCAAUGAAAUGGCCCAUUUAAUAUAAGCUGUGCAGGUGUGACUUCUUUGUGUUCCUUCUAAAAGAAUUAAAUUCUUCCCUUUAUAUCUCCCAAGGCCCAAAUUUAGUUCUUUUACUGAAACUUCUACAAUUAGAUUUCCCAUCUCCACUUUCCCCAAAGUUUAAAAAGAAUUUCCCUUUUUAUAUUUUAAUUGCAGACAGAAGUAAAAGGCUUGCUGUUUUCCAAAUGAAACUGGCGUCUUUUCAGACCACCUCUGCAAUUUAAGGUACCUAACUAGUGUGCCCCAGUUGCUGCCAAGGCAAUGUCACAUUCAUUCAUGGAUGCCAACGUGAAUGGGAGACAUGUCCUCAUUUUUCCAGUUUUAUGUUAGCUAUCUAGUGGCCUUGCAGUAACAGAACUGAUAAACAAAUUCCUUUGAACAUUGGCUUCAUACCGAGUCAAAGCAUUGGUCCAUCCAGUGAACGCCCAUCAGCAGUAAUUUUCAUCUUAUUCUCAGUUCUAUCUUGAGAUUAUUGGAAAUCUUGGAAAUGUAGGAGUAAUUGCCAACAGGGGAAUAGAUGGAAUCAGUAGUACUGUCCAGGCAUUAUAAAAUUGUAUGCAUAGAAGAGACACAAGGAUGAAUAUAAUAGGCUUGACCCUUUCAUAUGUCACCAUCCCAGAUUGACCUGGAAAGCUAAAGUGAAGAACUGAAAAGAAUUUUUGCAGAUAAGAAUAGUCAAAAAUGGGUUUUCUGAGUGUCAGAAACUCUGGGCCCAUCCACACAGGUCCAAAAAAACAGAACCUGUCUUGGUUUUUACUGGAGGAAUUCAAACAAUGCCUCCAGUAAAAAUGAAUUAAUUCAGAACAAACCAAGGUUUCCUGAAUUAAUUAGAUACCCAUUUAGAUCUGGAACUUCUUGGAG